UUCACGAUGCCCGGCGGCUGCCGGAACGGGGCAGGCUUGGCUAUAGUCAUCUGUAAGCCAACUCCUGGUGUGACUUCUGAACAAUUUACGAGUUGUACUCUAGGCUGAUCUUUAUAAAGAUGAAUAAAGAGGUUGGUGAGGGGCCUGACGUGCAGACCCUGCUCUGCGUGUCUCGGGGUACAUACACUGUUGGUGCUCAGAGUACAUAGACUGUUGGUGGGGGUUCUGGAUGACACCACUCAAACGGCAGUCCAGAAGGGCGUGACUGACACACAUUCAGGGCCCUGUUCUGGCUGCUCUGUGGGCCACGGAGAUACAGCAGGAGCUACCGUGUCCUGGAUAGCCCAGCACGAAGUGUUAAGCCAACACCCGCCACGACCCGAAGGCAGAAUUACUCUGGGCAACACACUUGACCUCUCUGAGCCCUUGUGUUUCUUUCCAGGAAAAAAAUGAAGGGUCUGACUGGCUCCAGACUCUACAGGAAGCCCCACCCACCACCCAGGGUCUGAAGACAGUUGUCCCUGUGUCACCCACCUGCUGGCUCCUUCAGCUGCACCUGCUUGCCCGGCGACUGCUUCCUCUGAAGUACCUGCCAGGAGCCGGUCCGAGCCCUCACCACGUCUGCCACU